AUUCCAGCUCCAAUAGCGUAUAUUAAAGUUGUUGCAGUUAAAACGCUCGUAGUCGGAUUUCGGGGCGGCUUCGUCGGUCUGCCGAUGGGUAUGCACUGACGCGGGCGUCCUUCCUUCCGGAGACGCGUCCUACUCUUAGCUGAGCGGGGCGUGGAGACGGAUCGUUUACUUUGAAAAAAUCAGAGUGUUUCAAGCAGGCAUCAUCGCUCUUGCAUGGAUUAGCAUGGGAUAAUGAAAUAGGACCUUGGUGCUAUUUUGUUGGUUUCGAGCACCGAAGUAAUGAUUAAUAGGGACAGUUGGGGGCAUUCAUAUUCCAUUGUCAGAGGUGAAAUUCUUGGAUUAACGGAAGGUGAACUUCUGCGAAAGCAUCUGCCAAGGAUGUUUCCAUUA
rnacentral:rRNA from 1 species